UACGUAGGGGGCUAGCGUUGUCCGGAUUUAUUGGGCGUAAAGAGUGUGUAGGCGGCCAAGUAGGUCCGGUGUGAAAACUCGAGGCUUAACCUCGAGAUGUCAUCGGAAACCAUUUGGCUAGAGUCCGGAAGAGGAAAGUGGAAUUCCUGGUGUAGCGGUGAAAUGCGCAGAUAUCAAGAGGAACACCUGCGGCGAAGGCGGGUUGCUGGGCUGACACUGACGCUGACAGCGCGAAAGCUAGGGGAGCGAACGGG
rnacentral:rRNA from 1 species